ACAGAGGUCCCGAGCGUUGUUCGGAUUCAUUGGGCGUAAAGGGUGCGUAGGCGGCGGGGUAAGUUUGAUGUGAAAUCCCGGGGCUCAACCCUGGAAUUGCAUUGAAUACUACCUUGCUAGAGUACCGGAGAGGAAACUGGAAUUUACGGUGUAGCAGUGAAAUGCGUAGAGAUCGUAAGGAAGACCAGUGGCGAAGGCGAGUUUCUGGACGAUAACUGACGCUGAGGCACGAAGGCCAGGGGAGCAAACGGG
rnacentral:rRNA from 1 species